rnacentral:rRNA from 1 species
CGAGCGCAACCUGUCCUUAGUUGCCAGCGANUCGGUCGGGAACUUAAGGAGACUGCCGGUGACAAACCGGAGGAAGGUGGGGAUGACGUCAAGUCAUCAUGGCCCUUAUGGGCUGGGCUACACACGUGCUACAAUGGACAGUACAGAGGGUUGCCAACCCGCGAGGGGGAGCUAAUCUCACAAAGCUGUUCGUAGGUGCAGUCUGCAACUCUGACUGCAUGAAGUCGGAAUCGCUAGUAAUCGCAGAUCAGCNUGCUGCGGUGAU